GAAACCCGGUGAUCUAGCCAUGGGCAGGUUGAAGGUUGGGUAACACUAACUGGAGGACCGAACCGACUAAUGUUGAAAAAUUAGCGGAUGACCUGUGGCUGGGGGUGAAAGGCCAAUCAAACCGGGAGAUAGCUGGUUCUCCCCGAAAGCUAUUUAGGUAGCGCCUCGUGAAUUCAUCUCCGGGGGUAGAGCACUGUUUCGGCUAGGGGGCCAUCCCGGCUUACCAACCCGAUGCAAACUGCGAAUACCGGAGAAUGUUAUCACGGGAGACACACGGCGGGUGCUAACGUCCGUCGUGAAGAGGGAAACAACCCAGACCGCCAGCUAAGGUCCCAAAGUCAUGGUUAAGUGGGAAACGAUGUGGGAAGGCCCAGACAGCCAGGAUGUUGGCUUAGAAGCAGCCAUCAUUUAAAGAAAGCGUAAUAGCUCACUGGUCGAGUCGGCCUGCGCGGAAGAUGUAACGGGGCUAAACCAUGCACCGAAGCUGCGGCAGCGACACUGUGUGUUGUUGGGUAGGGGAGCGUUCUGUAAGCCUGUGAAGGUGUGUCGUGAGGCAUGCUGGAGGUAUCAGAAGUGCGAAUGCUGACAUAAGUAACGAUAAAGCGGGUGAAAAGCCCGCUCGCCGGAAGACCAAGGGUUCCUGUCCAACGUUAAUCGGGGCAGGGUGAGUCGACCCCUAAGGCGAGGCCGAAAGGCGUAGUCGAUGGGAAACGGGUUAAUAUUCCCGUACUUGGUGUUACUGCGAAGGGGGGACGGAGAAGGCUAUGUUGGCCGGGCGACGGUUGUCCCGGUUUAAGCGUGUAGGUGUGUGUUCCAGGUAAAUCCGGUUCACUUUAACACUGAGGCGUGACGACGAGGCACUACGGUGCUGAAGCAACAAAUGCCCUGCUUCCAGGAAAAGCCUCUAAGCAUCAGGUAACAUCAAAUCGUACCCCAAACCGACACAGGUGGUCAGGUAGAGAAUACCAAGGCGCUUGAGAGAACUCGGGUGAAGGAACUAGGCAAAAUGGUGCCGUAACUUCGGGAGAAGGCACGCUGACACGUAGGUGAAGUGAUUUACUCAUGGAGCUGAAGUCAGUCGAAGAUACCAGCUGGCUGCAACUGUUUAUUAAAAACACAGCACUGUGCAAACACGAAAGUGGACGUAUACGGUGUGACGCCUGCCCGGUGCCGGAAGGUUAAUUGAUGGGGUCAGCGCAAGCGAAGCUCCUGAUCGAAGCCCCGGUAAACGGCGGCCGUAACUAUAACGGUCCUAAGGUAGCGAAAUUCCUUGUCGGGUAAGUUCCGACCUGCACGAAUGGCGUAAUGAUGGCCAGGCUGUCUCCACCCGAGACUCAGUGAAAUUGAACUC
rnacentral:rRNA from 1 species